rnacentral:tRNA from 1 species
ACUUAAAUUAGUUUAAAUAUUAAAAUUAUAAAUUGUGGAUUUAUAGAUGAUGUAAAUCAUUAGGUA